rnacentral:rRNA from 1 species
GCUUACGGCCAUACCAGCCUGAAUACGCCCGAUCUCGUCUGAUCUCGGAAGCUAAGCAGGGUCGGGUCUGGUUAGUACUUGGAUGGGAGACCGCCUGGGAAUACCAGAUGCUGUAAGCU